CUAAUGAUGACAGUCGGCAGUGGAGGAAAAUAUGCACACUUGCAGUUAAUGCGGGAAGGCAAAAGCAGAAAUAAAACAGACUUUCAGAGGAAAAUAUGGACCCAGCCAAAAUGAGGAAAAAAUGGUUCCUGGUGGUAAAGACAACUUGGGAGAUCCACCUGCUCAAAGGAAAGAAGACAGCUCAGGAAGAGAUCACCCUCCCCACUUCCUGCCUCCCUCCCUUGGUACACUGUUCCAUACAGUGAGAUUAAAGAAGACUUAUUCUCUCUGGGCUAAAAUACCUGCCUCUUCAGAGCUGGUUUGAUAGGACGACUGGAUGGGAGGAAGCAGCUCAUCCGGGCUGUUCCCAGGAUCACCCCAGUGCUCUGAAGAGGAUCCUAAAAUUUCUCAAUCUAUCCGAUAAGUGCUGGCAGACGUUUUGCUGGCUUAUGGCUGUGCCCAUAAUCAAUCCCAGAGGGGUUCCAGCUCUAUGCCAACUGCCCUAUGUAGGAUGUCCCUGUCUGCCUCUUCUUAUAUGGGUCUCUCGCUGUAACCCCCUGCGUUCACAGUCAUUGCCUGCUCCAAAUAAUAAAGGAAAGGGAAAAAGAUACAAAAGGUUUCUUUCUUUGCCUGUGUCUUAGCUCCCUGCCGCCAAUUAACUCAUUAGUGGCUCGUUAUGGGUACCACCUAGUCUCUUUG